CGCAGUAACAUUGAUGACGACAGCUCCCAUCCCAGAAGUGUGUGAUGGUGACUGCCUUUGAAGACUCAUGAGAAACUGAGACCUCUAAAAGGUUGAUAAAACACGGCUCCUGUGCUCUGAGCCAAGGUGGAAGGGAUGGUGUACAUGUGAGAAUGGGCUCAGAUUGGAACCUGGCCUUUUGCUUUGUGCAUCAGCACGGGCCAGCAGCUAUUGACUACAAAAGCCAUAUGGGAGCAGGAUCCCCUCAAACUUUACCCAAACAGAGAAAAGCCAGACUCAACUUAACUGUAUCCAAGAGAGCUCCUCCUAUCAAUUAGGACAAACCCGACCAUUGAUCUGUACUCAACUUUGUGUUGUACUCUGAAGAUCAGCACAAUGGGACUCUGUCAGACUACAAGGGGAAGUCAUUCUGUCUGAGUUUUCCUGAAAAAAAACAGCUUGUCUCUAGUCUUCUGAUUCACAAAAAGCACAACUGUGAAGCAAGUUUACUGCCACUGACUGAAGCUAAACUGGGGCAGGCCAUCUCAACGUCACUGGCAAUGGAAAUUGCCCAUGAUGGAUAUGAAUGAGUCCAUGAGACCAUUACACAGACAGGCCAACAAAGGCAUUGCUAAUGGAUGCCUUAUACCAUCGCUGGCCAUUGGACUGGUCUUAAAUAGCUAAUGAAAAAUAAAAUUUUCUCAACCUUUGAUCUCAAAGUUGUCUCUUAAAGAAUUCUUUCUUCCUAAUCUGUACCCAUAAAAUUAAAAAAGAAACAUGGAUAGUUGUAGUUCUUAAAGGAACAAAAAUGUGAUUUAUUUCUAAAAGACAAUAAUCUUCUGUCCUGCACUUUUUCUGUGUUCUCAUCCUGUUUUGCCUAGACUUUUGAAAUGUCCCCAUACUUAAUCUCCCUGCUUCCACUCUCAUCUCCUUUCUAAUCAGUCAUCCAUGAAACUGAUGUAUCUAAAGCCCAGUUCUUUACCAGUCACUCCUUUCCUGCUCAAGAAACUUCAAUGAUUCCUACUUAUACUCAUGAAACACAAAUUCCUCUGUGUGACAUUUUAAUUCAUUCACAAUUCGCUUCUAACCCAUUUUUCCCAACUCUUUCACAUUACUCCCCCUUGUGGUCCCCGUAUUCACCCAAGGUGGUUGAUUUGCUUUUUCCCAUACAUAAAAGUAUAUAUGUUUGUUUCCCCAUAUGUAUGUAUGUGUAUGUUUCCCUAUAAACUACAUUUCCAAAGCUCUUCCCCAUGCCUGGAAUGCCUUCUUGUUACUGGUUCUUAAAAUAACUAGCUCUGUUCAAGAUUUAAGCCAAGCAGCACCUUCCAUAUUCUUUCCUGAUCCUAAUUCUUAGUACCUUUACCCCAAGUAGUAUAUAUUUACUUUGAAUGGUAUAACUCAGAACUAGGAAAACCUAGUCCCAGUCCCACUUCUGACACAUAGUGGCUCUGUGGUAUAACUCCAGACAAUCCAUUAAAUCCAGUUUUCUAGGCAGCUCUCUGAGAUCAUAAGCUGCAUUCAGGAUAUUAUCUGGAUCAAUGAAAUCAUAGGUCUAGUCUUUAUCCCCAUCCCUAUAUUUUCUAUUUUUGGCAAAAUAAUACAUACUUAUUUUUGUAUGUGUGUUUUCCCUUAAUAGAAUAUAAGCUCCCUAAGGACAGGGAUUAAUUCGUUUUUAUCAUUGUAGCUACAUUGUCUAGUAGAAUACCUUGCAAAUAGUACCCUUUCAGUACCAUUUCACCUAGCAGUGCCACAAAAGAGGAAA